rnacentral:hammerhead_ribozyme from 1 species
AAGCGAAACCGCCCUCUGGGCGGUCGUCCGGCGGUGGCGCGCCGGGCCUGAUGAUGCAGCUAAUC